UACGAAGGGACCCAGCGUAGUUCGGAAUUACUGGGCUUAAAGAGUUCGUAGGUGGUUGAAAAAGUUGGUGGUGAAAUCCCAGAGCUUAACUCUGGAACUGCCAUCAAAACUUUUCAGCUAGAGUAUGAUAGAGGAAAGCAGAAUUUCUAGUGUAGAGGUGAAAUUCGUAGAUAUUAGAAAGAAUACCAAUUGCGAAGGCAGCUUUCUGGAUCAUAACUGACACUGAGGAACGAAAGCAUGGGUAGCGAAGAGGAUUAGAUACCCUCGUAGUCCAUGCCGUAAACGAUGUGUGUUAGACGUUGGAAAUUUAUUUUCAGUGUCGCAGCGAAAGCGAUAAACACACCGCCUGGGGAGUACGACCGCAAGGUUAAAACUCAAAUGAAUUGACGGGGACCCGCACAAGUAGUGGAGCAUGUGGUUUAAUUCGAAGAUACGCGCAGAACCUUACCAACACUUGACAUGUUCGUCGCGACUCUAAGAGAUUAGAGUUUUCGGUUCGGCCGGACGAAACACAGGUGCUGCAUGGCUGUCGUCAGCUCGUGUCGUGAGAUGUUGGGUUAAGUCCCGCAACGAGCGCAACCCUCACUUUUAGUUGCCCUCAUUAAGUUGGGCACUCUGAAAGAACUGCCAGUGAUAAGCUGGAGGAAGGUGGGGAUGACGUCAAGUCCUCAUGGCCCUUACGUGUUGGGCUACACACGUGCUACAAUGGUAUCUACAACAGGAAGCAAGACUGCGAAGUUAAGCAAAUCCUUAAAAGAUACCUCAGUUCGGAUUGCACUCUGCAACUCGAGUGCAUGAAGCUGGAAUUACUAGUAAUCGUGGAUCAGCGUGCCACGGUGAAUGCGUUCCCGGGUCU
rnacentral:rRNA from 1 species